rnacentral:rRNA from 14 species
CAUGAAGGCGGAAUCGCUAGUAAUCGCGGAUCAGCAUGCCGCGGUGAAUACGUUCCCAGGUCUUGUACACACCGCCCGUCACACCAUGGGAGCGGGUUCUGCCAGAAGUAGUUAGCCUAACCGCAAGGGGGGCGAUUACCACGGCAGGGUUCGUGACUGGGGUGAAGUCGGAACAAGGUAGCCGUAGGGGAACCUGCGGCUGGAUCACCUCCUU